GAUGAACGCUAGCGGCAGGCCUAACACAUGCAAGUCGAGGGAGAAGCCCUUUCGGGGGCAGAAACCGGCGCACGGGUGCGUAACGCGUAUGCAACCUACCUUUAACAGGGGGAUAGCCCGAAGAAACUUGGAUUAAUACUCCAUAAUAUUAUUGGAUGGCAUCCUUUGAUAUUUAAAACUGCGGUGGUGAAAGAUGGGCAUGCGUCCUAUUAGCUAGUUGGAGUGGUAACGGCACCCCAAGGCUACGAUAGGUAGGGGUCCUGAGAGGGAGAUCCCCCACACGGGUACUGAGACAGGGACCAGACUCCUACGGGAGGCAGCAGUGAGGAAUAGUGGUCAAUGGUCGGGAGUCUGACCCAGCCAUGCCGCGUGCAGGAAGAAUGCCUUAUGGGUUGUAAACUGCUUUUAGAUGGGAAGAAUAAGGCGUACGUGUACGUUGAUGACGGUACCAUAUGAAUAAGCAUCGGCUAACUCCGUG
rnacentral:rRNA from 1 species